UACGAAGGGGGCUAGCGUUGCUCGGAAUGACUGGGCGUAAAGGGCGCGUAGGCGGAUGGCACAGUCAGAUGUGAAAUUCCCGGGCUUAACCUGGGGGCUGCAUUUGAUACGUGUGAUCUGGAGUGAGGAAGAGGGUCGUGGAAUUCCCAGUGUAGAGGUGAAAUUCGUAGAUAUCUGGAGGAACACCGGUGGCGAAGGCGGCAUCCUGGACCGACACUGACGCUGAGGCGCGAAAGCUAGGGUAGCAAACGGG
rnacentral:rRNA from 1 species